rnacentral:lncRNA from 1 species
GGAAAUGAAGAGAGAGAGAGAGAGAGAGAGAGAGAGAGAGAGUUUUAGGGAAGGGAUGGUUAAUGAAUACGCAUAUUCAAAAUUUUAUCCAAAAUCCGAAUCUGAACGGAGCAAAAUUUAUUCGAUACAAAAUAAAUAUGGUUUCGUAUAUGAAUAUCAAAAACAAAAAUUCGGUGGAUAUGGAUUUUGACUAUAUUCGACCUGAGCCUAAAUCCGAAUCCGUUUUUUAAUCCGAAUUUUUAAACGAAUUUAAAAAUUAGAAAACAAAUUUUAUACGUAUUAUAUACGUACCGAAUUUUUGCCGAAACUGAAUUAACUAACUCUGCUCUUACAUCCUCAAUUUUAGCAGUGGAAAAUUUUUAUACGUAAUAAUUCGGCAAUAAAAAAAAGUAUGUAUAAAUAAUCUGUAUUAUUACUAGGAUAUUUUUAUUUUUAUUUUUUCGGUUGUUACAAUAGAACAAAUUAAAAGUAAAUUAAAAGUAAAUUAUCUUGAGAGGCCCGGUUUGGCCUAGCUUUUUCAAAGUAAUUUUAGACUUAAAAUUAUUUUUAAACUCUGUAGAGUGUUUGGUAAAGACUCCUGAAAAAUCUGCUUUUAUUUUUGAAAAGCAAAAAAUUGAUUCUUCAACCUCUAAAAGCAGAAGCUGAAACAACCUGCUUCUCAAAACUGAUUUUUAGAUAAAAAUAUUUAAAAAUUAAUUUUUUUUUAUUUUGUUUUGUUUGAUUUGUUUAAAAAAAAUUAUCUAAAAAUAAAAAUUAUAAAU